rfam:Myotis brandtii contig312605, whole genome shotgun sequence.
GGCGGUUCUCAGGUGACACACCCUGGAAUCAGGCUCCCUCCUCUCUGGUUCUGGGUCUGCCCCCUGGUGGUCAGUG